CGGAAGCGUCGUUCGGACCGC
rnacentral:siRNA from 1 species